rnacentral:rRNA from 1 species
CCUACGGGAGGCAGCAGUGGGGAAUUUUGGACAAUGGGCGCAAGCCUGAUCCAGCCAUGCCGCGUGUGUGAAGAAGGCCUUCGGGUUGUAAAGCACUUUCGGCCGGAACGAAAUCGCCUUUGUUAAUAGCGAGGGUGGAUGACGGUACCGGAAGAAGAAGCACCGGCUAACUACGUGCCAGCAGCCGCGGUAAUACGUAGGGUGCGAGCGUUAAUCGGAAUUACUGGGCGUAAAGGGUGCGCAGGCGGCGUCGCAAGUCAGGCGUGAAAUCCCCGGGCUUAACCUGGGAACUGCACUUGAAACUACGAUGCUGGAGUAUGGCAGAGGGAGGUGGAAUUCCACGUGUAGCGGUGAAAUGCGUAGAGAUGUGGAGGAACACCGAUGGCGAAGGCAGCCUCCUGGGCCAAUACUGACGCUCAUGCACGAAAGCGUGGGGAGCAAACAGGAUUAGAUACCCUGGUAGUCCACGCCCUAAACGAUGAUGACUAGUUGUUGGAGGAGUUAAAUCCUUUAGUAACGCAGCUAACGCGAGAAGUCAUCCGCCUGGGGAGUACGGUCGCAAGAUUAAAACUCAAAGGAAUUGACGG